rnacentral:rRNA from 1 species
UACGUAGGCAGCGAGCGUUGUUCGGAAUUACUGGGCGUAAAGAGUGUGUAGGCGGUGCUCUAAGUUCGGUGUGAAAUCUCCCGGCUUAACUGGGAGGGUGCGCCGGAAACUGGAGUGCUCGAGCGUGGGAGAGGAAAGCGGAAUUCCUGGUGUAGCGGUGAAAUGCGUAGAUAUCAGGAGGAACACCUGCGGUGUAGACGGCUUUCUGGACCAUUGCUGACGCUGAGACGCGAAAGCGUGGGUAGCAAACAGG